CCAUUUUUGGCCAAGUGGUUAAGGCGAUGGACUGCUAAUCCAUUGUGCUCUGCACGCGUGGGUUCGAAUCCCAUCCUCGUCGAGCUGGA